rnacentral:lncRNA from 1 species
UCUUGGAUACCGACCAUUACUUCUAUUGUUAUAUUUUUAUUUUACGUAGUAGGCUAUAGGCAGAAAAUAAGUGUGAAAUUCCAAAAAAGACCCUUUUACAAUUCCAGCAUAUCGUGUACGCACCCAUGGAAGACGGCAAGAUAGAACGUGGCGUGCAUAGGGCUGGGAGAUAAGAUUUUAACUCUCUUCCUGAAUAAGAAGGCAGCAAUGGCCAAGGAGACCCAUGUAUUUGAGUUAAAAUAGGAUCUUAAAGCAUCAACCAAAAGGAGACUUUCCCAGUGUUUUACCGCCCUGGAUGGCGAUCAAUAAAAAUUAAGAAGAGCAAUGGCCUCAAAUUACUACCUCGUGGCACAGCAGAAACUGCAGAAAAACCCCCAGACAUUGAUCUUCCAACUUUAGCAACCCAUUGGUACCAGCUUUUACAGAAGGAGCAUUGGAAGUUUUGACGAACUGUUAAAAAUUAUUGGACUUUCAAGUUACUAUAAGCUAUCAAGAUACAAAAUUCAGAAAUUGCAUCUCACCUGAUAGAAGACUCCUCUGUUGCAUUAAGUUUUAGGUGCCUAAAACUCUUAUGAAAUGGAAUUGACAGAGUCAAUAAAACCUACGACGCCUCUCUAUGCAAGGAAAAGAGUGGCUAAACCAGAAAGGAGAAAACGUAAAGUAAAGUAAAGAGAAAACGAGAGCAAAAUAAGAGAUACAAGAAUAAAAGUUUGCCGGAGUAUCCAAAUGUAAACACGUGACAAAAUCGUAUCGUUGCAGUUCAUUGUCAAUGUACGAUGUUUCAAAUUUUCAUAAAACUUUUUAUGUUCACAAAACUAAAAUAGAUUAGAGAUAUUAAACGCAAAAGGAGCCAAAAUGAAAAGGGCGCGUCUAAAAGAAGUUUUUCAGUUGUUUAUAAUAUUCCCAAGGCCAAUAGUUUAAAACUGGUUCCAGUUUGCAGGAAUGCAUUUACUAAAAUUUUGGCAGUUGGUAAAGAUCGGAUUAAAGAGGUUUAAAGAAUCCGGGAAAAUGGCGUCUGAAACAAGGGGUCGCGACAGAAUUUCUGGAAAAUAUGGUGCGAAAAUAGAGUCAGUAAUGAAAUUCAUUGAAAGUUUUAAGGUAAUUGAGUCUUAUUAUUGGCAAAACAGAACUAACCGCGAAUAUUUACCUUCAACACUUAGUAUUUCAAAGAUGUGGAGACUAUACUGUCAAAAAAUGAACGAAAUACCAACCCUCCUUGUUAAAAAAAGUUAUGUUGCAAUGAUAUUUAAUACCAAUUACAACAUUGGCUUUGGUUCACCCCGCACUGAUGUGUGUUCCGUGCGUCUCCAAUUAACAGAAGAAAUAAAAAAUUAGAAAAACGAAAAUAAAAAAAAUAAACUAAUGACGGAAAGACAUGUACAUAAAUUACGCGCCAAGGCUUUCUUUGACCAUUUAAAAGAAGAAAAACCUGAACUAAUUACAAUAUCAUUUGAUUGCCAGAAGAAUCAGGUCCUACCAAAGAUUCCUGACCAAUCAGACAGCGGCUAAUUCCUAGCCGCCAGCUUUAUAUUUACAAUUUUACCAUUGUUACUGGCAGUUCACACUCACCCCUCACUAAAAAUAAUGUGUCAAUUUAUGCUUGGACUGAAGACGAAUACCAUAAGGGAUCAAAUGAAAUAGCAAGUGCUGUAUUUUACAAACUUUGUCAACUAGGAAUAAAAAAGUAAGACUUGUUGCUGACGGAUGUGCAGAUCAGAAUAAAAACUCUACUUUAAUUCUAAUGUGUACCAUGUGGCUUAGUGAGAAGGCUCCUCAGUCAGUCUCGAAAUUAUAAAUUAUCUUUCCAGUUGUUGGGAAUUCUUUUCUCCCUGCAUAUCGUGUGUUCGCUCGAAUUGAAAAAAAAUAUAAAAAAAGAAGAAGUCUUAGUCUCUGUACAACAGUACCUAAAUAUUUUUCCUGAUCAAGUCUGGACUACGCGCAGGCCAAAGCAAAGGUCCCCAUGGGAGCUUGAGCCCUAGCCCCUUCCGGAGGAGAAAAUCUAAUAAAUUUCAAGAUAUGUAUCUGUUUUGGCUCAUUAUUGUUUUAUCAAACACUUUAGGUCCAGAAUACAAUAUGCUUUUACUCCAAUAAUCUUUUCUACGAGGACAUUUAGUGAGUUCUGUGGGAAAAUAAAGUGCAAUAAAAAUAUACAUUUCCUCUUUUUCAAGCUUCUUCCAUUGAAGAUCAAAUUCAGUAUUUGAAUUAUUUUUCCCGAAAUAUAUUUUUGCUGGUCCAUUCGCAAAAUUUGGACACAAUAUUUGGGCUCAUAAAACACUCAAGGGAAUUCACUGGGUUUUUAGAUUCUUGCCAAUCAAUUGCAGGAUUAAAAUCGUAGUCAGAAGAAAAACCACUUACUGGUUCAGGUAGUUGAUCGGAAAUGGAUCACCUAAAACUUGCCAGUCGUCCAUAAACACAUUUUCAAUUUCUUCGUCUUCGUCAGUGUUCGAAUAAGGAUCCGAGUCACUUAUCAUCAAAUUAUCACUCAUUUGGUAGUCCAAAUCAUCACUAUCGCUUACAGAAUGAUUGUCCACGUUCAUAAUGUCCUUUGUAAGGUGUUAGUACAAUAUCAAAGACAAAAGUAUGCAGAACAACGUUAAAAACUAACAUUCCCGCCAAAUAUUAUAAAACGCACUAAUUCAGGCGUAUACCAGCGAGGCUAAUUCGAAACUAACAAAAACAACAAAUGUAUGAAACUUUGUGAACCGGUUUAUUUUGGGAUAAAAUAUUAUAUCCUACACCAGACGAAAUAAUAUAGUAAUACUCGUAUUACCGUCAUAUAAAAUCUAUUUGCAAGCAAAUAGGGACGAUAUCCAUAUGUGGAUAACUUGGUACGUGCCGGCCUUAAUAGAAAUAUCGAAAUAGUGGAUACCUGGAGUGGAAAGGGGUUAAAGUCUGUUGUGUACUUUAGAAUUAUGUUUGACAGAAGGAUGAAAUACAAUUUGAAGACACUUUGUACACGUGUCCUUUUGAAAAUCUUCCUACUCGUAAUAUCCGAGGUACAGGAACAGGUCUGCGGGUACGGGAUUUCUUUGCUAGCUAUUUCACUUCACUAUCAGGAUUUAUUCCUUGGCAGUAUGAUAAAAUUUGAAGUGUAUUGAUUGCGUAAGAUUAUUUAUUACAAAAUAAGACUAGUUAUCUUAUAUGGGGUGGAAACUUGUGCCUCAUAUUCUUCAGUUGAAUGAAAUUUGUACUAUAGUCAAAAUCGCUCUUAUCGUGCGGGUGUAUUGGAUUAUCAACGACAAACUUUUGUAGUUACGUCUCAUUUCAAUUUGCGCAACAACGUUUAACUACAACGCAUCAGAUAAACGAAACAGAUAUAUGCAGCGUUAAUGUAUCAAAAGAAGAUAAAAUGAUAAAUGUUAGUGGUUCUAAAACAAUUACUUUCAUAACAAACAUGCCUGUCUCGUUUCGAUUGACGGAUGACAUUAUUUGUUACAAGAUAAUUUAAAUUUCAAAUUAUGGAAAAGAAAAAGCCUUUUUGUGGAUUUCUAAAUCCUCAAGCCAAAAAAAUGGUACUUAAUGUUAUUAAUUACUUCGAGAACGAAAAAGAAAAUAAAGGGUUGCCUAAGAAUGUACAAAAAGAAGUAGCUAAAGCGCUUGGAAUUAGUUUAAGAAUGGUGCAAAAGGUUGUAUAUGAAAACAAGAACGAUCUUAUUCCCAAGAAGGAAAAAAAGUGUAUAAGGAAGAAGCCGAAGACUGAAGAUUUAAGUGAAUGUGUAAAAAUGGAAGUAAGGGAUAGGAUUUAUGAACUAUAUAGGCUAAAAACAAAUAUAACGCUGCCAUUUCUGAGGGAUGUUUUAAAGCAACGCGGCACUUUGGAAAUUGGACUUUCUGCUUUAUCAAAAUUAAUUAAAAGCAUAGAUUUUCGCUAUAAAAAAGACUGCAAUAGAAGAUAUUUGUGUGAACUACCAAAUAUUGUGAGCCAACGAAUAGGAUUUUUAAGACAAUAUACACAAAAUAAAAAUUAAAGUUAAGGGAAGUGGUAUUCUUAGAUGAAACUUGGAUAUUUUCAAACAGGAGUGGAAUAAAAUCUUGGCAAGAUGAAUCUGUGAAAAGUGUGAAAAGAAAAAAAGGAUGUGGUCAGGGAAAACGAUUUAUUAAUUUACACGCCGGGUCUUCAACGGGAUUCGUUCCCGGUUGAAGUUUAAUUUUUUCUUCUAAGUCUAAAAGUAUGGAUUAUCAUGACAAUAUGAAUUGCGAAAUGUUUGGAAAAUGGUUAAAGGAACAGUUAAUACCGAACUUGCAAGAACCUUCCUUAAUAGUAUUAGACAAUGCGUCGUAUCAUUCAAGAAUUUUGAAUAAACAACCAAAUGGAAGUUAUAGAAAAAGCGAAAUUUAUGAAUGGUUAGUAAAAGAAAAUCAGAAUCCCUUGCCAUAUAUGCUAAAAUCCGAACUUCUUUCAAUUGCAAAAUCGCUGAAAAGACCAAAAAUCUACGCUGUUGACGAAAUAGUACGUGAAUAUGGCCAUGAAGUUUUAAGAUUGCCACCAUACAAUAACACCUCUACAAAAGGACAAAGCGCUCCAAAAAAUGUUGCUCGUGACGUCACACGUUUGGGCCAUGCACUUCUGGUUGAUUUUCGCGUGAAUUCAGCUGUUGACGCUGCCGUUGUUCGUCCACGGAAGACUGCCUGCAACGCUGCCAGACUUUGCAGAUUGCCGUGAACGUUAGGAUGCUCUAUUACUAUCUUAAAACAAUUAAAUCUAUAUCUUUAACUGCUCUUACUUUACAAUUUAGUUAAAAAAAAAGAGUGCAUCCUUAUUUCUCUUUUUAUAAUUUAAACUUCCAUUUUUUCAAAUUUUAUCAUUUAUCUAAUACCACAGAUGUAAAUAGCUACUUGCCAAUAGGAGUUCUUUCUAUAUAAAUCUGACAACGGCACAUCUACUAGUUGUGCCACCUGACGAAACGAGAGGUUAGGUUGUUUAUAUUUAUGUUCUGUGGUUGCCGGUAUUUCUGACGAGGUCCGCAGUAAACAUUAGCUCAUUUUUGUGUUUUUUUCUAAAAUCGGAACUGUUUAUUUCCGCGAAACGUGUAUGUUUUAUUUAUGUAAACUCUUCGCGUACUUUUAAAUCGCAAAAUCGUAAUUUCGGACUAGAAAAAUCCUCGGAAAAACCGGUUCUCGGUGGCGGUUUUAUUUGUUUAUAUCAGACUUUAAUACUUAAGUUCGUGUUUAAUUUAAUGUUUUUCUCCUAGUUCGGCUUGUAGUUAAUACCAGAGUGUAAAUAUGCCUUAAAUGUGUUGUGUUCCGGGUUGUAACGGAAACUAUAAAAACGGACCUAAAGUGCAUGUCUUCGGUUUUCCUAAGGAUACAAAUCUAAGGGGAAAAUGGGUAAAAGCCAUACACAGAGAUGACUUUGAGCCCACAAACAACACCUAAGUAUGUGAAGCUCAUUUUCCUGAAGGUAGUAUAAUAAAGAGUACUUUAUUAUACAUUUUAUUAUACAUAUUAAGUUCAAGAUUCCAACACAGGUAAAAAUUUUUACAAUAGAAUUACUAAAACCACGGCUGAAACUUUUGAAACUUUUUUAUAUAGCGAGCCAGUUUGUGUUUUAACAUCAAAAUUUAAAACUCCAUAUACUUCCCUUCAUAUAGUUUAGAUGAUUUAUAUGCAAUACUUGAAGCAAUAGACCUUACUAUUAUUACCCUGCCUUUGGAGGAAAAUGUUACCAAUAAUGACAACCCCGACUGUGACUUAAAUCCAAAUACUGCUAUACCGAGACUGCUACCAAUACCCUUGGCAAUACUAUUCUCGAUCAUGCCAAACCAUCAAAUGACAUUAAUAAAAUGAAAGGUGUGUUCGAUUUUGUGUCAAACAUACUAAAAAGUUUUAAAAACAUUGAAGACAACAAAAUAGUGCAUUCUUUAGAUUUUAUUUGUGAACAAUUAGCUUUGCUUACAACUGUAAAGGAAAGGUACAGAUAUUCAAGUAGUACAAUAAUUUUGACUUCUAUAAUCUAUACUAUUAGUCGUCAUGCGUACAAGUAUUUAACAGAUUAUGGAUCCCUAAUUUUACCACAUCCUCAAACUAUAAUGGGUAUUUGUAACAAACACAUGACCGAUCCCCACAUAGAUGAAAAAAAAAUGUUUUUAACUUAUGCCCGAAAUGUGUUUAGUUUACUAAAGGAUCAUGAGAGAUUUGUGACACUACUUUUUGAUGAAAUUCAUAUUGACCCUUACAUGGACUAUAAAGGCGGUAAUAUCACUGGAACAUCAGUCAAUAAUAAGUCUCUAGCUUUAACGGCAUUUACUUUUAUGAUUACAAGUGUGUAUUCCAGCUUUAAGAAAGUAGUUCACAUAGCUCCCAUCUCCAAAAUUACAUCACACAUACUUUAUAAUUUUAUUAAGACAAUUAUUGAAAAUUUAGAGGAGAUUGGGUACAGAGUUUUUUAAUAGUGUGAUAAUAAUGCCAUUAGUCAUUUUUCAACUGCAGACCAACUUAGCAUUGUUUAUCCUCAUCCCAUAGAUAAUCAGAGACCAUUAUUUUACCUAUUUGACACAGUUCACUUACUUAAAUGUGUAUUUAAUAAUUGGCUUAACUCUAAACUAGACCAAAAAUUUUAUUUUCCUGAUUUUGACACCUCGAAGAAAAAAUGUGCUUCUUUUUCUGCAAUUAAAAAAUUACAUGAACUGGAGUAUGAUAAACUUUUUAAGCUUUUAAAGUCAAUAUAUGUAUUUGUGUGUAUAUAACAUAACAUUUUUUACCACUUGGUGGUAUAAAAAAAUACCUAAAUACAUAUGUUGAAUUUUGGCGCAGAUGUAGAGGAGUUGGGAGUCUGCAUUUAAUAUUACACCAUAAUAUUUAACCUGACAUUCAACCAGAACUAAAACAUACCUUUGAAUGUGUCCUGAACUCUAUUCUAUUCCUAGCAUUUUUUAAAAUAAGCCAAAUAUUGAGAUAUUAGCAUAUGAAUCCCUUGGUUUUUAAAAAUCGGUGGCCCACAUCGAUGACGUCACGCGCCAAGCACUAAGGCCUUGUCUUUGAGUGGGUGUUGCACCAUACCAUUGUCAGUUUAAUGCCAUUGAGCUUAUAUGGGCAGGGUCAAAAUCUCAUUAUGAGAAGCAUGUGGGUGCUGGGCUUAGAUCUGACCAGGUUGACGCUGUUUGGAAUGAGGCAUUGAAUCACAUCACAAAGGAGUAUUGGCGGAAAUCAGUGGAUCACACAGAAAACAUUAUUAGAACCUGGUGGAAGAGAGAAAAAGUACUCGAUAUCCAAGUUGAACCAUUGAUCAUUGCUCCAUUUGAAGAAGAUUCGGAAAAUGACGAAAAGGUUAUCCGACUCUGUUAGUUAUAAUGAUAGUUAUAAUUAGUUUCUUUUUUUAGUCAAAUUUGUUACUUCAUUUUUACACAUUCACUUAAAUCUUCAGUCUUCGGCUUCCUCCUUUUACACUUUGUUUCUUGCUUGGAAAUAAGAUUGUUCUUGUUUUCAUAUAGAACCUUUUGCACCAUUCUUAAACUUAUUCCAAGCGCUUUAGCUACUUCUUCUUGUACAUUCUAAGCAAUCCCUUAUUUUCUUUUUCGUUAUCAAAAUAAUUAGUUUUCUUUUUGCAUUUCGUUUAUUAUUUAGGUAUGAUUAAAAAGUACAAAAAAAUUUUUUUUAAACAAAGCUAAGUAAAUAAAUUGGUGGAUGCGCUGGGAGAUAGAUAUGCCCGGCGCAUUUUCCAUUUUUUUUUUAGUAAUUUUUUAUCUUUUUUUGACUUUUAACUGAUAUAAAAGACAAGAUAACACAACUUUUUAAAUUUUCUGUGCAUCAACGUAUAAAUUGGGUCGAACGACAAAUAAUAAAUCAUAAAAUUAAAAUGUCAUUUUAAAAGUGAGAUUGUAACAUGAACUUGCCUUUAAACAAAGAAAGUAGUUUUCUGGUCUCUGACUGCACUGCAUCACACACAAUACAAAUUAAUUGUUUGUCAUUAUACCAAAAUGUAUAGUUUCCCAAUAAUUAUUACAAAAAAACACAAUCACACAUAAACAAAGAAGAAGACAAGAUCAAAUAAUCGUUAAAAAUUAGACGUUGUGCCCUGAAAUCGACAAAUUAGUAUGUUAUGCACAUACAUAGAUAGGGUCAUGCUAUAUCGUAUACUAAUUUCUCAAAAAUUUAGGUAACAAUCAUUUUUAAAUGAAAUACGUACAAUUUUAAUGAAAGGCUAGGGAGGCAUUUUUGCUCUCAUAAAAAAAUGUAAAAUGCUUAGAUUUGGAUAGUAUUGCGUAAAGAAAAAUUGUUAUUGAGAAUUCCGUCUAUUUCGGACAAUUUUUCAAAAAAGAAAAGUAACUACAGUGAGGUCUCGAUAAUCCGGAUCAAUAAAAACAACGCUGAUCCGGAUUAGCAAAAAAUCCGGAUUACCGAAACACUAUGUUGAAAUUGAGGAUAUUGUUAUAUUAAUUAUGUUAUAUUGUUAUAUAAUAUUAACCUAUUAUAAUUAUUAAAUUAAAAACAUGGAAAUGGUGUUUUAUCAAAUUUUCUUUAUUUAAAAUAAAACAAACACAUUCUUUAUAACGAAUAGAAAAUUAUUGGGUAAUAUACAUAUAAAUACAUAUGUAUGUAUGUACAUAACGUACUUAAAUGCAGCCAUAACACAUACAGUAGGUCAAUUUUUUUAUGACAAUAACAUUAGUUUGGGUUAGUAAAAAAAUGUGUAAUUUGGGUCUGCCUACAGGUUUUUAAAUUUUUUAUCACUGCUGUUUCUCUCAGCCUCCUUAAGGUGACAAGUUCUGGCAGUUCCACGUCAUUUUCUUCCGCCCAUUGCAGACACACAUUGAAACUCUUAACUGCAUCCUGAUGCUUCACAGUAUUUUUAAGUUCAGGAACAAUUUCCACCUCUUCUUCUGAAUUCUCACCACUUGCUAAGUCUGGAACUAGCUCCUCAUCUGCAUCAAUCCACUGAUUUACAUCCAAAUGUAUAAAUGAAGUUUCUUUUCCUCCUAGUUGAUUAAGCAUGCCAGAUAUAUUAUCUUGAAUGUUAUCGGUUAAGUUUUGUUGGCCAAUUUUUUCCUUCAAUACACUUAGUGGCAUCAAAUCGUCGGAAUCAUACUCUGUAUCAGAUGAAACAGCUUGGGUGGUUUUUGAUAAAAUAUUGCGCCAGCAUUUUUCUAUGGUCUUUGAAGGAAUUUUGCUCCACGCAUCAUUUAAAAUAAACAUAGCAUCUUUAAGAGUCACUGACUUUAAGCUUUUGGUAAUGUCUUGUUCAUCUGAAGAAAUAAUGGUAGCCAAAAUACUAUUGCGGUAAUGCAUCUUUGUUAAACGGACAACAUUUUGGUUGGAUUAAUGCUGUGCAGUUGGGAGGCAAAAACAUUGUCACUAUAUUUCCAUCUUCACUAACUAAUUCUUCUUUUGUUGCAUGAGAAGGCGCAUUAUCAACAAUCAACAAAGCCCUUUCUUCCAGGUUUCGACUUUGUAGAAAAGUUUUCACUUGGUUUACAAACGAUUCGUGAAACCAUUGUUUAAAUAAAGCAGAUGUCAUCCAAGAGUUCUUAGUUGACGUGUAUUCAAGUGGAAUCUGAACAUUCUUAAAUGAUCUAGGGUUCUUAGCCUUUCCAAUAACUAACAAGUUUAGUUUGUGGCUAUCAUCUCCAUUGGUACAUACCAAAAAAGUUAUUCUUUCUUUACAAAUUUUUCGGCCUGGGGCAGAUUUUUCUUUAAUAUGUGCCAACGUUCGGUCAGGCAACAUUUUCCAAAAUAGUGCUGAUUCAUCAGCAUUGUAAAUUUGCCGGGGCGAUAAAUUAAGUUCUUUAAUCUUAUCUUGGAGCUCUACUAAAAAUGGCUCAACGGCUUCUGGGUUAUUGCUUAGUUUUUCGCCACUCACUUUUAGACAACGCAAGCCAUGUCGCUUUUUAAAAUUUGUUAGCCACCCUCUACUUGCAAGAAAUUUGUUAUCCAUAAUGUUUUUGAUAAAGCUGUUUAGCCUUUUCGGAUAGUAUAUCUGAGGUUAUAACAGCAUGCCUCUGCCUUUGAAUUAAAAACCAAUUCCGUAAAUACAAAAAAAAAACAACUUGAAAAACCCCCCACAUAUAAACAUGCAUGCAAUUUAUCUUUUAUCAUAAAAACUCGUCCAUGCAAGUCAAAACUUUUAAAAUAAAAUGUCAUGCGUCCACAUUUUUAUCUGUCACACAACUUUAUCUCUCAGAAAAAAAAAACAAUAAAAACUUACUCUUCUAUCUUAUCAGAAUGCUUCUUGAUGUCUGAUAUUGUCGAUGUUCCAACGUUAUAUUCCAUAGCUAAAUUUUUAGCUAUAUAUUCUUUCUUUUGAACUAUAUCAUAUUUCUGCUGAAUAGUUAAAGCCACGUGUUUCAGUUUUGGAGCCAUCCCUACACUAUCCUAUACACGUAAUGGUCAAGCGACUAAUAACAAGUAAUAAGCUGGAAUAAAGCGUUCCUUGCUACAAUCAUGCGAGCAAAAUAAUCCAAUCACAGCCGCUGAAAAAGCAUCGUUCGCGAUCCGGAUAACCAAAUCAUAUAAAAUCCGGAUUACAAAGUACAUAAUUGGAAAAAUUCUUGAUUCGGAUAACCGAGGAAUCCGGAUUAUCGCAAUUCGGUUUAUCGAAACCUCACUGUAUUAUGUCUGGCAACUUAGCAGAAUAUCGGGGAUUCUAGGCAUAUACCGUAUACCGUAUAGGGCUUUAUACUUAUAGGCUUUUUCACGUCAUGAAAGGAAAUAACCAACGUAUGUUUUACAUGUCGAAUCUCGGAUACGUAGUAUUCCGCAGACAUUUUUACGACGUUAAAGGCAUCACGUCAGUUAAUAAUUAUGAUCUAAGGUGUAUACGCGGCUUUAAUAUGUCACAUGACGGCGUCAAUGUAUUGUCAAACUCUCAAGGAAAUAACAUUUUGGCAGCCACUGAUUUUUCAAUUUGAUUCAUAUUACGUGGUGACCUUUGAACGAAGGCGACUAUAUCGCCUACCUUCAUUUUUUUUCUCCUGUGGAGUAAGUUCAUUCCAGUUUGGCACCACUGCUUCACCCACUUCCUGCCAGAGUUUUUUUUUUUACAUUCCUAUCGCUAUAUUCAUUUCUAGCUUUAUCGUAUAAAGGGGGUUUUUCUUCUAUAAGUACAAUAAAUUUCUGGGUCCAUCACGGAAAACACCACUGACUGAUCGAAUCAACAUCGAUCUGAACGACGCACAGUAGAUCGAGGUAUAGGGCUACAGCAGCUAUAAAUCCAAAAAUUGCCUUAUGAAGUGUUUUGUGACGCAGAUAAUUUAUUUAUAGCGAAAAGAUAAUUUUCUAAAGUUUUUUCUGCAAAAAUUAUGUGUUCAGCAAUGUGUCACCUAAUAAUAGUAAAAGUAUUUACUUAUACAGUAAGUUUUUUUUAGUAAUACUCCUGGUGCAUCUGGUGAUCACCAAAAAAUAUUUUCGAUGGAUAAGCACCACCCUCUCCCAAACCUCAAAGGGUACUUCCCCUUAAAUAGUUUUGGGAAAUUUUUGUUUUUGGUAAACGUUAGCAAAUCUAGUUUAAAGAGAUAUAAUUUAAUAAUUAAAAAAAAGGCUUUUUUAGGCCCUUCUUAAUAAAGCAAUGUUUUUUGCUCUACUUAAUAAACUUAAAACAAAAUUAAAAUGAUUCUGCAUAAAUCAAAAGUUUGACAGAGUAAUUGAUAAUAAUCCCUAUUUUAAGCAUAUUUUAAAGGAAUUGAAUAUUAUCUUUUAGCGUCGUAUGUGAAUAAUCUGCAUUUUUUUUCUCUUAAUCUAUUCGUUUCAAAGUACUCUUUCUGCUUAAAUUUUAAAAUAUUGCAAAAUCGGAAAUACUUAGAGUCGACAAAACUUCAGGUCCUGGAUUGCUUCAACCCUCUUUCCCAUAUAAAAAUAAUUUUCUGUAGUUUGCUUAUAUUUGUAGGUGAAUGUCCCUGUAGCUGCUUUUUGUAUUUAGGCAUGUAGUACAGAUGCUGUUUCACUCUAUUUUAUAGGUAAUUUACCUUACCCAACACCCCUAUUCACUCCCGGGUCCCGUAAGCUUCUAGGGUAAAAAAAACACUUGUUAAAACAGCGCCGAUAGUUUUGUGUUCUAUAAAGAUGCUAGAAAAGUCGUAUGUAGAGAAAUUUUCCUAUAGCAGUAAAAUAGCAGAAUAUCAUUUUUUUAUUUGUUACUAAAAUUAGUAUCUUAAAUUAUUUUCAGUCUAUUAAACACCCAAAUUCACUUUCGCAGUUUUUUAGGCAUUUUAUUUUUAUGCAAUAUUUAAAGUAAAAUAUUUAAAAUGCAAGGAUUUAAAUAAAGUUUUUUUAUUGCCUUCAAAAAAAUUUAAAAAUAGCGCACACCAAUGAAGCGACCAUAUUUUUGUCCCGUCUGAACUAUUAAUUAUUAUUCUCUUCUAUUAAUAAUUAUUCUCCGCAAACGCAGGUAUCAUUUUCGGCUUGUGAAAGUUCAUUCAACAUUCUGCCUCUUAUUUAAUAAUAAUGGGAUAAACUAAUAAAAGGUUACUACUGGA